rnacentral:rRNA from 1 species
UACGUAGGUGGCGAGCGUUGUCCGGAUUUACUGGGCGUAAAGGGAGCGUAGGCGGAUUUUUAAGUGAGAUGUGAAAUACUCGGGCUCAACUUGAGUGCUGCAUUUCAAACUGGAAGUCUAGAGUGCAGGAGAGGAGAAUGGAAUUCCUAGUGUAGCGGUGAAAUGCGUAGAGAUUAGGAAGAACACCAGUGGCGAAGGCGGUUCUCUGGACUGUAACUGACGCUGAGGCUCGAAAGCGUGGGGAGCAAACAGG